UGACCUCGAAUCAGGUAGGGAUACCCGCUGAACUUAAGCAUAUCAAUAAGCGGAGGAAAAGAAACCAACAGGGAUUACCUCAGUAACGGCGAGUGAAGCGGUAACAGCUCAAAUUUGAAAUCUGGUCCGGUUACGGGCCCGAGUUGUAAUUUGUAGAAGAUGCUUUGGUAAUGAGUCCGGCCUAAGUU
rnacentral:ncRNA from 1 species